rnacentral:rRNA from 1 species
UACGAAGGGGGCUAGCGUUGUUCGGAAUUACUGGGCGUAAAGCGUGCGCAGGCGGCUGCUCAAGUCAGGGGUGAAAGCCCAGAGCUCAACUCUGGAAUUGCCUUUGAGACUGAGUGGCUUGAGUACGGGAGAGGUGAGUGGAAUUCCCAGUGUAGAGGUGAAAUUCGUAGAUAUUGGGAAGAACACCGGUGGCGAAGGCGGCUCACUGGCCCGUAACUGACGCUCAUGCACGACAGCGUGGGGAGUCAAACAGG